GGGGUCACUCGUUACAGAAGUCCUUUCUGCACUAGUAUGUGUGUCUCUCAAGUAAAAACUUUUACUUCUACUUGUAUUGAUUGUGAACUUAUUCUUUCACUUUUACUCCUUAAUACUAUGAAGAAAAUUGAUGCGGGAAAAAAUAAAUGUUUGUUUAAAACUUUGCCCACAGCCCUUGCGACCGCUGAGACUGCUGAGACAUUAAGCGUAGUGGACCAACCAGUAGCCCCACAAGCUGAAGAAUUGGAGUCGGUCAGUCUGCAGAGUGACUUUGCUGAUGACGAUGACGCCCUUGGUCAAACUUUCGUAGAGGACCUCUCGGCUAAAAUCACCCCAACUCCAGAAGACUUCGCAGCUCAGAGAGACUACACUGACUUACCAUGCCGCUGCAAGUCUUUUGGAGGUCGGCCGUGUCAUAUACAAUUCGAUAGAAAUGUUUUAAUUAAUCUUAAAUUUUAAUUCUUAGAAAUGUCAAGGGAAGAGCAAGACAUCGCUAUUACAAGCCAACUCAGCGCUGGGAUGGGUCGGUCUGCGGAGGCUAAACAUGCUGGGAAAGUGAGCCAGAGGAGAAAACACAAAAUGAAAUUUACUUUGCAUGGAAAUUUGAUUUGCAGGGAAUUUUUUUAAUGGUUACACAGCAUGAGCCAAGAUAAAUUAACUGCACUGAUCAAACAUUAUUUUGAUUUUGGUGUUUGUGCUAGAGUUCACAAAUUAAAAGGAUCAAAA